rnacentral:rRNA from 1 species
AGUGAACGCUGGCGGUAGGCCUAACACAUGCAAGUCGAACGGCAGCACAGUAAGAGCUUGCUCUUACGGGUGGCGAGUGGCGGACGGGUGAGGAGUACAUCGGAAUCUACUUUUUCGUGGGGGAUAACGUAGGGAAAUUUACGCUAAUACCGCAUACGACCUACGGGUGAAAGCAGGGGAUCUUCGGACCUUGCGCGAUUGAAUGAGCCGAUGUCGGAUUAGCUAGUUGGCGGGGUAAAGGCCCACCAAGGCGACGAUCCGUAGCUGGUCUGAGAGGAUGAUCAGCCACACUGGAACUGAGACACGGUCCAGACUCCUACGGGAGGCAGCAGUGGGGAAUAUUGGACAAUGGGCGCAAGCCUGAUCCAGCCAUACCGCGUGGGUGAAGAAGGCCUUCGGGUUGUAAAGCCCUUUUGUUGGGAAAGAAAAGCAGCAGGUUAAUACCCCGCUGUUCUGACGGUACCCAAAGAAUAAGCACCGGCUAACUUCGUG